UUUCAUAAUUAUAUUAUAAGAAUCCAGCAUAUGUAGAACUGCUAAAUAAGUAAAAUUCUUUUCUUUCCUCAUAUAACAUAUUAAUAUUAUUAUUAUUAUACAUGACGUGUGUGAUAUGAAGGUGAAUCCAGUCCAUGUAGUGAACUGUGUGCUGUAUUGAUGAGGAGCUCAGUGAUCAGAGUCCAUGUAGUUUCCAGGAUCAGACUGAAUGCAGUGCUGGAAGCUGCUGUUGACUGUGUGAAUGUGUGUCUGUGCUGCUUGUUGCUGCUGUCAAACUUCAGAUAAGCCGGUAGUGAAGCCCGUGGUGAGCGUGUACCCAGCAGCAUCCAGAGCCCACCAUGAGGGGAAGAGCUCCCUGCUGUGUGUGGCCUCAAACAUGUUUCCUCCUGUGGUCCGCUUCUCCUGGAAAAGACGAAAGGUGAACGAGUCUCUGGAGGAGCAGGCACCUGCUGAGGAGGUGCAGCUGGAGCUCAGAGAUUCGGGACGCACCGCCGCCAUCAGAGUGAUUGAUCGGGACGCUCUCUACACGUAUAAAUACCGCUGCUACGUCCAGCACGAGGGGGGGGUAGUGAAGGCCCAAACAGAACAAGAGGUUCCGGUGGCCUCCUGUCCUCCAGAGAGAGAGCCAGCAGACCUGGCAGCUCUGCAGCAAGCUGACUUGUCCUUCCAGUCUCAGUGCAGGGUGAAGCUGCUCUGGCUGCUGUACACAGUGCUGAUAGUGAAGAGUCUGGUGUACUGCUGUGGACUCCCUCUGCUGUGAAUCCUCAGAAACAAGGGACCGUCCACCGGCUGCACACAUGCUGACUGACUGCUUUCUGCUCGCCUUUUCUCACCAUCAGAUCUCAUCAAUUUAACUCAUUGGUCACUUUCUGCAGAAAUUACAAAUGUAAGUUAUGAUGUGCACAGGUUAGAUGUAGUAAUCCUAAAAAUAUAUACACAUACAUAUUUGCUGAGUGUAAGUUCUGUGUAUUUGUUAUUUUGAUGAUCUAGAUUAUUUCCAUUUGUGACUUAUAUAAAAAUAGAAAAUGAAGCUGAAUCAUUAGCUGUCUGCUAGAUUUUUUUGUUUUCAGUAUUUUUCUGUUCUUGUGUCUCUUUUUAAUACAUUAUGCAGAGUGUGGCAGGUUUGGCAAAUUAUUUCAGUCUUUCUCAAUAAAAAGAAAAAUCCCAGCGUCUGUGUUUUGUAAACAUCAUUGUUUGUACUGUUUUCAGUUUGCCUUCAUGGCAAAUAAUCAGAACCGAAACAGCCUAUAUGUUGACAGCUACAAGUCAUUUGACUCUGGUUGUAACUAGCUCUCAUCAGUCGGGCUGAAGUCUGAAUAUCGGCAACAUGAUGGCUGUUUUUAUUUCUUCUAAACCAAUAAAAUGCUGCUUAACUUUU